rnacentral:misc_RNA from 1 species
GAUGAAGAACGUAGCGAAAUGCGAUAAGUAAUGUGAAUUGCAGAAUUCAGUGAAUCAUCGAAUCUUUGAACGCACAUUGCGCCCGCCAGUAUUCUGGCGGGCAUGCCUGUUCGAGCGUCAUUUCAACCCUCAGGGCCCUUUUGGACCUGGCGUUGGGGCUCGGCCGCUACCCUGCGGCCGUCCCCGAAAGAUAGUAGCGGUCUCGCUGUAGCCUCCUCUGCGUAGUAGUUACAUCUCGCACUGGAACGCGGCGCGGCCAUGCCGUUAAACACCCCACUUCUCAAGGUUGACCUCGGAUCAGGUAGGAAUACCCGCUGAACUUAAGCAUAUCAAUAAGCGGAGGA